AUGUCAACUCAAAGAUCCUCUCCAAGGUCAUUGAGUACUACAACAAACACGUCCAAGCAAAGGGCCGCCGACACAUCUGAUUUUGGAGGAGGAGCUAGGCCGUUAGGUGCUACAUCGGCUGUGCCUGCGGCGCCCACAGAGGACCUCAAAAACUGGGACGCCAAUUUCGUCAAGGCUGCGAACCACGUCAACAUCAGGGGGCUCCUAGACCUGACUUGCCAGACCGUCGCCGACAUGAUCACGGGAAAGACGCCAGAGGAGAUCCGCAAGAUCUUCAACAUCAAUGAGAAAUUAAGACCCGAGGAGGAGGAGAAGAUCCGCAGGGAAAACCACUAG
rnacentral:rRNA from 1 species